rnacentral:rRNA from 1 species
UACAUCGGAACGUGUCCUUUCGUGGGGGAUAACCAGUCGAAAGACUGGCUAAUACCGCAUGAGAUCUCACGAUGAAAGCGGGGGACCGCAAGGCCUCGCGCGAUUGGAGCGGCCGAUGUCGGAUUAGCUUGUUGGUGAGGUAAAAGCUCACCAAGGCGACGAUCCGUAGCUGGUCUGAGAGGACGACCAGCCACACUGGGACUGAGACACGGCCCAG